AUUGUCUUGGCGGAAUGGUAUACGCGGCAGCUUUAGGUACUGUUUGAUUUAUUUCAUUACAAGUUCAAAUCUUGUAGACAAUA
rnacentral:tRNA from 1 species